CGACGCAACGCGACAAGAACGCUGCAAACAAGCGUCAGCGGCAUUACUUGUACAGUACAAGGCAUUGUAGAUGGGGAAAAAGAAAAACUGCACAGAUGUACAUCAGGGUACACCAAGUGUAUCAGAUGGAACUGCUGCCUUUCUCUGAAAAGGGUGACUAAAGACGACAGGACACACCAGAACACUAGAGUACAUUCCAGAUACACUGGCGGGGUUUCUAGGAAUUGGAGAAUGAUUUAGAUGGUCUGGGGUCUGAGGAGACUCAGG